rnacentral:rRNA from 1 species
GACGAACGCUGGCGGCGUGCUUAACACAUGCAAGUCGAACGGAAAGGCCCUGCUUUUGUGGGGUUCCCGAGUGGCGAACGGGUGCGUAACACGUGAGUAACCUGCCCUUCACUUUGGGAUAACUUCAGGAAACUGGGGCUAAUACCGGAUAGGAUCUCCUGCUGCGUGGAGGGGGUUGGAAAGUUUCGGCGGUUGGGGAUGGACUCGCGGCUUAUCAGCUUGUUGGUGGGGUAGUGGCUUACCAAGGCUGUGACGGGUAGGCGGCCUGAGAGGGUGACCGGGCACAUGGGGACUGAGAUACGGAGCAGACUCCUACGUGAGGCAGCGGUGGGGAAUAUGGCACAGUGGGCGGAAGCCUGAUGCAGAGACGCCGCGGUCGGGAUGACGGCCUUCGGGUUGUGAACCGCUUUCGCCUGUGACGAAGCGUUAGUGACGGUAAUGGGUAAAGAAGCACCGGCUAACUACGUG